rnacentral:rRNA from 1 species
UACGUAGGGUGCGAGCGUUAAUCGGAAUUACUGGGCGUAAAGCGUGCGUAGACGGCUAUCUAAGUCGGGUGUGAAAGCCCCGGGCUCAACCUGGGAAUUGCAUUCGAGACUGAAUAGCUAGGGUACGGUAGAGGGAAGUGGAAUUUCCGGUGUAGCGGUGAAAUGCGUAGAUAUCGGAAGGAACAUCGGUGGCGAAAGCGACUUCCUGGACCAGUACCGACGUUCAGGCACGAAAGCGUGGGGAGCAAACAGG